GACGUAGGGCGCGAGCGUUGUCCGGAUUUAUUGGGCGUAAAGAGCUCGUAGGCGGCUCGUUGCGUCGGCUGUGAAAACCCGCAGCUCAACUGUGGGCUUGCAGCCGAUACGGGCGGGCUGGGAUUCGGUAGGGGAGACUGGAAUUCCUGGUGUAGCGGUGAAAUGCGCAGAUAUCAGGAGGAACACCGGUGGCGAAGGCGGCUCUCUGGAACGGUACUGACGCUGAGACGCGAAAGCGUGGGGAGCGAACAGG
rnacentral:rRNA from 1 species